rnacentral:rRNA from 1 species
CAACAGCUCAAAUUUGAAAUCUGGCUUCGGCCCGAGUUGUAAUUUGCAGAGGAUGCUUUUGGUGCGGUGCCUUCCGAGUUCCCUGGAACGGGACGCCACAGAGGGUGAGAGCCCCGUAUGGUUGGACACCAAUCCUGUGUAAAGCUCCUUCGACGAGUCGAGUAGUUUGGGAAUGCUGCUCUAAAUGGGAGGUAAAUCUCUUCUAAAGCUAAAUACCGGCCAGAGACCGAUAGCGCACAAGUAGAGUGAUCGAAAGAUGAAAAGCACCUUGAAAAGGGGGUUAAACAGUACGUGAAAUUGUUGAAAGGGAAGCACUUGUGACCAGACUUGGGCCGGGCGGCUCAUCAGGGGUUCUCCCCUGUGCACUCCGCCCGGUACAGGCCAGCAUCGGUUUUCGCCGGGGGAUAAGAACGGUAGGAACGUGGCUCCCUCUCGGGGGAGUGUUAUAGCCUGCCGUACGAUACCCUGGCGGGGACCGAGGUUCGCGCUUCCGCAAGGAUGCUGGCGUAAUGGUUACUAGUGACCCGUCUUGAAACACGGACCAAGGAGUCGUCCAUUAGAGCGAGCGUUUGGGUGUCAAACCCGCACGCGUAAUGAAAGUGAAAUUAGGUGAGAGCUUCGGCGCAUCAUCGACCGAUCCUGAUGUUCUCGGAUGGAUUUGAGUAAGAGUUUUAACGGACGGACCCGAAAGACAGUGAACUAUGCUUGUAUAGGGUGAAGCCAGAGGAACUCUGGUGGAGGCUCGCAGCGGUUCUGACGUGCAAAUCGAUCGUCAAAUAUGAGCAUGGGGGCGAAAGACUAAUCGAACUGUCUAGUA